rnacentral:lncRNA from 1 species
UGGAGCCGUGGACAGCAAAGUAGCAAGUUAUGAGAAGAAAGUGCGUCUCGGUGAGAUUUACACAAAGACAGAUAGCAAGUCGAUCAUGAGAAUGAAGAGUGGGCAGAUGUUCGCCAAGGAGGAUCUGAGACGGAAGAAGCUGGUGCGGGAUGGAAGUGUGUUUCUCAAGAGCGCAACAGGAAGGCUGAAAGGUAAGACUGUCCGUGUCUGUGUGCCUGCAGAGAACAGGAAACAUCCAGACACUGUGCAGGGCAACAACAGGAAGUAGACUGUUGGGGAAGACAUAUUCCCCCAGAGAGGUGUUGAGUGGCCAUGGUGAGAUUGGGGUCAGAAUUGUCUGAGUCAGGGACUGUGAGUCUGUGAGGUUGAGAAUUCAUCCUUUCCAAAGACCUUCUAAGACUUUGAGAAAGACAAAUCUAACUUAUUUUAACUAGGCUUGUUAUUACGUUAUGAUAUUCGUGGCAUUCAGUUUUCUCGAGAUCACUGAAGGUUUCUCGUUUGUCUUUAUGAGUUCUCGCUUUUCAUCAGGCACCUAUAGUAAUUUGAGGAAGUGGGGGUAUUUUUUUUUAACUCAUCACUACAUCUUACUUUUAUGAAGGUGGU